rnacentral:rRNA from 1 species
UACGUAGGGGGCAAGCGUUGUCCGGAAUUAUUGGGCGUAAAGAGCGCGUAGGCGGUCCGAUAAGUCGGCUGUGAAAGUUAAGGGCUCAACCCUUGAAAGCCGGCCCGAUACUGUCGGACUAGAGUCCGGAAGAGGCGAGUGGAAUUCCCGGGUGUAGCGGUGAAAUGCGCAGAUAUCGGGAGGAACACCAAUGGCGAAGGCAGCUCGCUGGGACGGUACUGACGCUGAGGCGCGAAAGCGUGGGGAGCAAACAGG